rnacentral:rRNA from 1 species
ACAUCUCUUUUUGAGUUAUUUAUAAAGUUUAACCUGCCCACUGAUUAAUUGAAUGGCCGCAGUAUUUUGACUGUGCAAAGGUAGCAUAAUCAUUAGUUUUUUAAUUGAAGGCUGGAAUGAAUGGUUGGACGAAAUAAUGACUGUCUCAUAUGAAUUUAGAUUAGAAAUUUAUUUUUUAGUUAAAAAGCUAAGAUUAAAUUAAAAGACGAGAAGACCCUAUAAAUCUUUAUAUUAAAUUAAUAAGUAAUAUUUAGAAUUUUUUAUUAUUUAUUAGUAAAAAUAUUUUAUUGGGGUGAUAUUAAAAUUUAAUAAACUUUUAAUUUUUAUUACAUUGAUUUAUGGUUAAUUGAUCUAAUAUUAUUAAUUAAUAGAAUAAGUUACUUUAGGGAUAACAGCGUAAUUUUUUUGAAGAGUUCUUAUCGAUAAAAAAGAUUGCGACCUCGAUGUUGGAUUAAGAAAUAUAUUUAGGUGUAGAAGCUUAAAAUUUAAGUCUGUUCGACUUUUAAAUUC